UCACACCGCCCCGUCGCUCCUGAUUGAAUGGUCCGGUAAAGUGUUCGGAUCGAGGCGACGUGGGCGGUUCGCCGCCCGCGACGUAGCGAGAAGUCCACUGAACCUUAUCAUUUAGAGGAAGGAGAAGUCGUAACAAGGUUUCCGUAGGUGAACCUGCGGAAGGAUCA
rnacentral:rRNA from 1 species